GCCAACAUGGACCAGUAAUCUCAAAGUAAGUUAACAAUUUCAUAACUAAUUUAAAGUUUAUUAAUAAUUUUUGUAUAUGCUAUUUACUUACUAUAAUUUAUGGUAUUGUAGUGCCAAAGACAAUCUUCCCAUUAUGAGUGUGGCUAUUAUGUUAUGAUACAUAUGUUAAAUAUUGUAUCAGCUGGGAUUGUUAAUACAUAGAAUCAAAUAUUUGGAGAUUCAACCUCAUUUCAUGAUGAUGAAGUUACGAAUGUUCAAGAACGUUGUGCAAAUUUUAUUUUAGAAUCCAUUUGAAGUAACUUGGUUAGGUAAAAAAUGGCAAUCAUAGGCCGGUGCCAUUUGUUUUUGUGCUUCUUUGUAGGCGUCAUAGUUUGUUUAGUUUUGCGUAGACUAGCUAGUGUUUUGAUACUACUUUAGUUAGGUUUUGGCAAGAGUUUUUAUUAUUUAUGGUACUGUUUGUGACAUCAUUUCUUGAAUAUUUUAUAAAUGAUGGAAUUUAUUUAAAAUA